CUGUAGAUCAGUAACGACGUCACGCCCACGUCCUGUGAAAACCGCGUGUAUCGUAGUGCUUAUAAUUGUGCGACUAUUAGUGAAAUUUAUCUGAAACAGGUGUUAAUAAAUCCAAAGAUUUAUAUCCAGUGAAUAUCAUGAAGUGUUGUCAAGUAUUGUAGUGAUGAGUGCUUAAGGAUGGAGACGACAGCUUUGCCCCUAGAGGGGGAUGAUGAGGGACGGCCCCAGCAGGCUUCUUCCACGGGAAGUGGGGCGUCGUCAGGCGCUGGAUACUAUGGGCAUAAGAAUGGCGAAUGGCGUGGAGAACGAAGAAUGUUGGAUAUAACGAGGGACAAACCGGUUAAAGUCUGCGUUCGAGUGGUUGUACCCGUCAGGGAUCAUCCAAAGUUUAACUUCGUGGGAAAGUUGCUCGGUCCAAAAGGCAACUCUCUUAAACGUUUACAAGAAGACACGAUGUGCAAAAUGGCUGUACUGGGACGAGGGUCCAUGAAAGAUAGACAGAAGGAAGAAGAGCUACGUAUGUCAGGAGAUCCCAAAUUCUCGCAUCUAUCAGAGGAGUUGCAUGUGGAGAUCAGUGCAUUCGCGACACCAGCAGAAGCCCACGCCCGUAUCGCGUACGCACUUGCCGAACUAAGAAGAUUUUUAGUACCGGAUUACAACGACGAUAUAAGACAGGAACAAAUGCUAGAAAUGCAAAUAUUGUCAUCGCAGAAUGAACAACGUAGACUGACACCGCCUGAAUCUUCUAGAAGCAAUAGCGAAGAGACAUUACCCAUACGAGAUACAGCAAAACAACGGUUACCAACAGUAGCACCAGUAACGCAGCCAGCAUUGGCUAGUGCCCCUGUUUUGCCUGUCAGCCACGCCCCCAGCGCACGCGAUUUUUCACCGCCAGCUCCCACACCUGCGCCAGAACAUUUGCCUCACCACCAGAUGACAAGUCCAGCAAGUCACGGCUUGCUGGUUGGAGGUGGUAUUUUGCAACAACCGCCCGCACACCAUUUACUCACACAAAACUCUAUUCUUGGUGCAGGAGACAUCCUGGGUCUAAGCAGCCCCGUUUUGGGUGGGGUGCUCCAUACCCACCCCGCAUUGCGAGGUGUCAAGCCAACAGCUGUGCACGCGCUGGCGACGCAAGGUCGGUGUUGGUUCGGGUGGAGCGAGCACCCGCAAGCGGCCGCUGCUGGGAGGCGCGCGGAACGCCAUCUCGCCGACUAAGCGAGCCGUCAUGUCGUUAUUGGCGCGCGCUAGGGCUGCCACGCACAAACACGAACACCCAGCUCUACUACCUCUGAUACGAGAAGAUUUCAUGACUGGAGUUGGAGUCAACAUCAACCUAGCGUAAUAUCUAGCCAGUAUUAUCAUUAUUGUAAUAGUAUGCGCUAUUAAUUUCUUUCGUGACGAACUCCCGUAACGGCUGUUAGUAAUUUAUGCAUAUGUCGCAGCCAACUAGCUUAAUAAGCCGUUCCAUUAAAAGCCUAGCCUCUUAACUAAACAGCUCCGUUAAACUAGCGGCCUGAAAGACAUGCAGCCAGUUGAUCAAACAGCUAGGCAAAUGACAUGGAUCGAUGACGUUCUAUUACUUUUCUAGCUUGAUGACUGUUCAUUAAAAUUUAGUUCCACUUUCUGCCACUCUCAAACUUGAAACGAAUCUCUUCAAGCUGUCAAUAUGGUGUUGGCAAACCACAACUUUGAUGGUGGUUUCCAAAUUUUAAUGAAAAACAACAAGUACAAUGGAAGAGUGUAGUGACAAUAAUAAUGUGAAGUUAGCUGUGACUGACUCAAGCAAUUUAAUUUUUAAAUUAAUAUUUUUCAUGUCAGAAGUUUCAUCUUUUUAUUUCUGCAACACGGUCACUCUAUCGUACGAAUGGCCUAAUCAUUAGCCAGCCAGUUUAUUAAAUGUAACAAACGCUACGGCUUAAUAUCUUUCAGGCUGUUAGUUAAGCGGCGCUGUUUAGUUAAGAGGCUAGGCUGUUAAUAAAACGGCUUAUUAAGCUUGUUGGCAGCGACUUUUGCAUAAUACCAGUCAGUAAAUAGUUCAGCCCAGCGUACGAUUCACGACUCCGAAGUUCACUAAUAAUUGUUUUUUACGCAAAUUACACAUGAUGGAAACCAUAAAUU